AGAGUUUGAUCCUGGCUCAGAAUCAACGCUGGCGGCGUGCCUCAGACAUGCAAGUCGAACGAUUAAACUUUCCUUCGGGAAAGAUAUAAAGUGGCGCACGGGUGAGUAACACGUAGGUAAUGUACCUUUGGGUGGGGAAUAACUUAGGGAAACUUAAGCUAAUACCGCAUAAUGCAGCGGCUCCUUCGGGAGACAGUUGUUAAAGAUUUAUCGCCUAAAGAGCAGCCUGCGGCAGAUUAGCUAGUUGGUAAGGUAACGGCUUACCAAGGCUACGAUCUGUAUCCGACCUGAGAGGGUGGUCGGACACACUGACACUGAAUAACGGGUCAGACUCCUACGGGAGGCAGCAGUCGGGAAUUUUGGGCAAUGGGCGAAAGCCUGACCCAGCAACGCCGCGUGAAGGAUGAAGUCUCUCGGGAUGUAAACUUCGUAAGAAUAGGAAGAAUAAAUGACGGUACUAUUUGUAAGGUCCGGCUAACUACGUGCCAGCAGCCGCGGUAAUACGUAGGGACCAAGCGUUGUUCGGAUUUACUGGGCGUAAAGGGCGCGUAGGCGGCAAUUCAAGUCAGUUGUGAAAUCUCCGAGCUUAACUCGGAACGGUCAACUGAUACUGCUUUGCUAGAGUACAGAAGGGGCAAUCGGAAUUCUUGGUGUAGCGGUGAAAUGCGUAGAUAUCAAGAGGAACACCUGAGGUGAAGACGGGUUGCUGGGCUGAUACUGACGCUGAGGCGCGAAAGCUAGGGUAGCAAACGGGAUUAGAUACCCCGGUAGUCCUAGCCCUAAACGAUGAAUACUUGGUGUCUGGAGUUUUAUUCUCCGGGUGCCGUCGCUAACGUUUUUAGUAUUCCGCCUGGGGAGUACGCACGCAAGUGUGAAACUCAAGGGAAUUGACGG
rnacentral:rRNA from 1 species